rnacentral:rRNA from 1 species
UACGUAGGGCGCUAGCGUUGUCCGGAAUCAUUGGGCGUAAAGCGCUCGUAGGCGGCCUUGUAAGUCCGUUCUGAAAGCCCGGGGCUCAACCCCGGGAGGCGGAUGGAUACUGCAAGGCUCGAGUCCGGAAGAGGCGAGUGGAAUUCCCGGUGUAGCGGUGAAAUGCGCAGAUAUCGGGAGGAACACCGAUGGCGAAGGCAGCUCGCUGGGACGGUACUGACGCUGAGGCGCGAAAGCGUGGGGAGCAAACAGG